UGGGGAAUAUUGGACAAUGGGGGCAACCCUGAUCCAGCCAUGCCGCGUGAGUGAAGAAGGCCCUAGGGUUGUAAAGCUCUUUCAGUCGUGAAGAUGAUGACGGUAGCGACAGAAGAAGCCCCGGCUAACUCCGUGCCAGCAGCCGCGGUAAUACGGAGGGGGCUAGCGUUGUUCGGAUUUACUGGGCGUAAAGCGCACGUAGGCGGGUCGGUCAGUCAGAGGUGAAAGGCCCGGGCUCAACCCGGGAACUGCCUUUGAUACUGCCGAUCUUGAAUCCGGGAGAGGUGAGCGGAAUUCCAAGUGUAGAGGUGAAAUUCGUAGAUAUUUGGAAGAACACCGGUGGCGAAGGCGGCUCACUGGACCGGUAUUGACGCUGAUGUGCGAAAGCGUGGGGAGCGAACAGGAUUAGAUACCCGUGUAGUCC
rnacentral:rRNA from 1 species